rnacentral:rRNA from 1 species
GUCGAACGAGAAGCCGUAGCAAUACGGUUGUAAAGUGGCAAACGGGUGAGUAAUGCGUGGGUAAUCUACCCUCGGGUGGGGAAUAACUCCUCGAAAGGGGAGCUAAUGCCGACAUGUGCAUCACUCUCGCAAGGGAGUGCUGGAAAGCCGUACCGUGGGUGCGGCGCCCAAGGAUGAGCUCGCGUCCUAUCAGCUUGUUGGCGGGGUAACGGCCCACCAAGGCUGCGACGGGUAGCUGGUCUGAGAGGACGACCAGCCACACUGGCACUGCGACACGGGCCAGACUCCUACGGGAGGCAGCAGUGAGGAAUAUUGCGCAAUGGACGAAAGUCUGACGCAGCGACGCCGCGUGGGGGAUGAAGGCCUUCGGGUUGUAAACCCCUUUCAGGAGGGAAGAUGGGACGGGUAACCGUUCGGACGGUACCUCCAGAAGCAGCCACGGCUAACUCUGUGCCAGCAGCCGCGGUAAGACAGAGGUGGCAAGCGUUGUUCGGAUUUACUGGGCGUAAAGAGUGCGUAGGUGGUGAGGUAAGAUCUGUGGGAAAGACCUGGGCUUAACCCAGGAAGGUCGCAGAUGACUGCCUCGCUUGAGGACGGGAGAGGAGAGCGGAAUUCCCGGUGUAGCGGUGAAAUGCGUAGAGAUCGGGAGGAAGGCCGGUGGCGAAGGCGGCUCUCUGGAACGUUCCUGACACUGAGGCACGAAAGCGUGGGGAGCAAACAGGAUUAGAUACCCUGGUAGUCCACGCCCUAAACGAUGGAUACUAAGUGUCGGCGGGUUACCGCCGGUGCCGCACCUAACGGAGUAAGUAUCCCGCCUGGGGAGUACGGCCGCAAGGUUGAAACUCAAAGGAAUUGACGGGGGCCCGCACAAGCGGUGGUGCAUGUGGUUUAAUUCGACGCAACGCGAAGAACCUUACCCAGGCUUGACAUGCUGGUUUUAAGAACCGGAAACGGCAAUGAACCCGCAAGGGUAGCCAGCACAGUGCUGCAUGGCUGUCGCCAGCUCGUGCGUGGAGGUGUUGGGUAGUCCCGCACGGGCGCAACCCCUGCUCAGUGCACGGUCAUGCGGGACUCUGAGAGUGCCCAGAUAACGGGAGAGGGGGAUGACGUCA